rnacentral:rRNA from 1 species
CAGGCCUAUCUAACUAGGCGCUGAGAGUGGCGGACGGGUGAGUAACGCGUGAGAAUCUGCCCAGUAGCGGGGGCAACCUGGUGAAAACCAGGCUAAUACCGCAUACGCCCUACGGGGGAAAGCUUCGGCCACUAUUGGAUGAGCUCGCGUCGGAUUAGCUAGUUGGUGGGGAAAGGCCUACCAAGGCGACAAUCCGUAGCUGGUUUGAGAGAAUGAUCAGCACACUGGGACUGAGACACGGCCCAGACUCCUACGGGAGGCAGCAGUGGGAAUAUUGGACAAUGGGCGAAAGCCUGAUCCAGCAAUGCCGCGUGUGUGGGAAGGCCUUCGGGUUGUAAAGCACUUUCAGCAGGGAGGAUAAUGACGUACCUGCAGAAGAAGCAUCGGCUAACUUCGUGCCAGCAGCCGCGGUAAU